rnacentral:rRNA from 1 species
GAUGAACGCUGGCGGCGUGCCUAAUACAUGCAAGUCGAGCGAAUGGAUUAAGAGCUUGCUCUUAUGAAGUUAGCGGCGGACGGGUGAGUAGCACGUGGGUAACCUGCCCAUAAGACUGGGAUAACUCCGGGAAACCGGGGCUAAUACCGGAUAACAUUUUGAACCGCAUGGUUCGAAAUUGAAAGGCGGCUUCGGCUGUCACUUAUGGAUGGACCCGCGUCGCAUUAGCUAGUUGGUGAGGUAACGGCUCACCAAGGCAACGAUGCGUAGCCGACCUGAGAGGGUGAUCGGCCACACUGGGACUGAGACACGGCCCAGACUCCUACGGGAGGCAGCAGUAGGGAAUCUUCCGCAAUGGACGAAAGUCUGACGGAGCAACGUCGCGUGAGUGAUGAAGGCUUUCGGGUCGUAAAACUCUGUUGUUAGGGAAGAACAAGUGCUAGUUGAAUAAGCUGGCACCUUGACGGUACCUAACCAGAAAGCCACGGCUAACUACGUGCCAGCAGCCGCCGUAA